AGCAGCCGCGGUAAUUCCAGCUCCAAUAGCGUAUAUUAAAGUUGUUGCAGUUAAAAAGCUCGUAGUUGAAUUUCGGGGUUUAUCCGUUGGUCGGGCUUUUUGGUCUGUACUGGCGUGAUGGAUUCCUACCUUCUGAAUAACCGGCAUGCCAUUAAUUUGGUGCGCCGGGGAAGCAGGACUGUUACCUUGAAAAAAUUAGAGUGUUUAAAGCAGGCAUUAGCUUGAAUACAUUAGCAUGGAAUAAUGAAAUAGGACGUUUGAUCCUAUUUUGUUGGUUUCUAGGAUCGACGUAAUGAUUAAUAGGGAUAGUUGGGGGCAUUAGUAUUCAAUUGUCAGAGGUGAAAUUCUUGGAUUUAUUGAAGACUAACUACUGCGAAAGCAUUUGCCAAGGAUGUUUUCAUUAAUCAAGAACGAAAGUUAGGGGAUCGAAGACGAUCAGAUACCGUCGUAGUCUUAACCAUAAACUAUGCCGACUAGGGAUCGGAUGAUGUUAAUUUUUUAAUGACUCAUUCGGCGCCUU
rnacentral:rRNA from 1 species